rnacentral:rRNA from 1 species
GACGAACGCUGGCGGCGUGCUUAACACAUGCAAGUCGAACGGAAAGGCCCUGCUUUUGUGGGGUGCUCGAGUGGCGAACGGUGAGUAACACGUGAGUAACCUGCCCUUGACUUUGGGAUAACUUCAGGAAACUGGGGCUAAUACCGGAUAGGAGCUCCUGCUGCAUGGUGGGGGUUGGAAAGUUUCGGCGGUUGGGGAUGGACUCGCGGCUUAUCAGCUUGUUGGUGGGGUAGUGGCUUACCAAGGCUUUGACGGGUAGCCGGCCUGGGAGGGUGACCGGCCACAUUGGGACUGAGAUACGGCCCAGACUCCUACGGGAGGCAGCAGUGGGGAAUAUUGCACAAUGGGCGGAAGCCUGAUGCAGCAACGCCGCGUGCGGGAUGACGGCCUUCGGGUUGUAAACCGCUUUCGCCUGUGACGAAGCGUGAGUGACGGUAAUGGGUAAAGAAGCACCGGCUAACUACGUG